rnacentral:misc_RNA from 1 species
AAGAAGUGCUAGCUUAAGUUGAAAGUGCGUAGUCCAUCCAACGAUGCUUAUUGAUCUUCAAUUACCACGACGUGUACGAAACAUACACGUCAAGAAAAUGGCACCAGCUUCUGCUUUGUUGGUGAAUCUUCUCUUCCUUUUCUAUGGCCUAGGCAUUUUGAUGACAGUGGUGGAGGCCGCCAGCAAUGUUCAUAUCGUUUAUCUUGGAGAGAAGCAACAUGAUGAUCCCAAGCUGAUUACAAAUUCACACCAUGAUAUGCUUGCCGAUGUUGUGGGGAGCAAGGAAUUGGCUUCACAAUUGAUAGUGUACAGCUACAAACAUGGGUUCUCUGGGUUUGCAGCCAAGCUGACAGAGUCUCAGGCUCAAAAGCUUGCUGAAUUGCCUGGCGUUGUUCGAGUUAUACCAAAUAGCCUUCACAAGCUUCAAACAACUAGGAGUUGGGAUUUUUUAGGCCUCUCUUCUUAUUCUCCUGUCAAUGCUCUUCAAAGGAGCAACAUGGGUGAUGGAGUUAUAAUAGGUGUUUUUGACACAGGAAUAUGGCCCGAGUCUAAAGCUUUCAGCGAUGAAGGACUUGGACCGAUUCCCUUCCGCUGGAAAGGUGUUUGUAAAUCUGGGAAGCAGUUUAAUGCUACCCUUAACUGUAACAAGAAAAUAAUUGGAGCCCGUUGGUAUAUUGAUGGAUUUCUUGCUGAGUAUGGAAAGCCAUUAAACACAUCAGAAGACCUCGAGUUUUUAUCGCCCAGAGACGCAAAUGGACAUGGGACACACACAGCUAGCACUGCCGCUGGAGCUUUUAUUCGCAAUGUUAGCUACAAAGGACUUGGUCCUGGGACAAUAAGAGGUGGAGCGCCACGUGCUCGGUUGGCAAUAUACAAGGUCUGUUGGAAUGUUUUUGGAGGACAAUGUUCAUCUGCUGACAUGUUGAAGGCUUUUGAUGAAGCCAUAUAUGAUGGGGUUGACGUAUUGUCCCUCUCAAUCGGAUCUUCAAUUCCUCUGUUUUCAGAUAUUGAUGAACGCGAUGGCAUAGCUACUGGUUCCUUUCAUGCUGUUGCCAGGGGCAUUACUGUCGUUUGUGGAGCUGCUAAUGAUGGGCCUUCAGCUCAGACUGUGCAGAACACUGCACCUUGGAUCUUGACUGUUGCCGCGAGCACCAUGGAUCGAGCGUUUCCAACACCCAUCACGCUUGGGAACAAUAAAACCUUCCUGGGUCAGGCCAUGUUUACAGGAAAGGAGAUUGGUUUUAGAGGCUUGGUUUACCCAGAGGCCUCAGGGCUGGACCCCAAUGCUGCUGGCGUCUGUCAAUCCCUAUCACUUAAUGCUACAUUAGUAGCUGGAAAGGUGGUUCUCUGCUUCACCUCAAUGGCUCGUAGAGCUGCAGUAACAAGUGCAGCAGAAGUUGUCAAGGCGGCAGGUGGAGUUGGGUUAAUUGUUGCCAAGAAUCCAAGUGAUGCAUUGUACCCCUGCAGUGGUGACUUCCCAUGCGUUGAAGUGGACUAUGAGAUUGGGACCCGGAUACUCUUUUACAUUCGUUCUAACAGAUCCCCUGCAGUAAAAUUGAGCCAUUCUAAAACUAUUGUGGGUAAUCCUUUGUUGCCAAAGGUGGCAUAUUUCUCAUCUAGGGGGCCUAACUCAAUUGCUCCAGCAAUUCUUAAGCCUGAUAUAACUGCACCUGGGGUGAACAUAUUAGCUGCUACGUCACCUCUGGAUAGAUUCGAGGACAAUGGAUAUGCCAUGCAUUCAGGAACAUCAAUGGCAACUCCUCAUGUCUCGGGUAUAGUGGCUCUUCUUAAAGCAUUGCAUCCGGAUUGGUCCCCAGCAGCCAUUAAGUCUGCACUUGUCACAACAGGUCUCUUUUGUUGCCUUUACUUUGUAUAACAGACCAUACAAAAGCACGAAACAUUAUAUGGUAAAAUCGGUAUACAUGUAAUGGUUUUAUUAUAACCAUUGAUUAUGGUAAAUUUCAUGUGGAUCUUACCAUAAUCAUCAGUUAUAGUGAACCGUUGUGCAUCAGUUUGACAAUUGACCCAGCAUUCAAUUUCCUUGAUCCUCGAUGCAGCGUGGAGAAAUCAUCCUUCUGGCUAUCCAAUAUUUGCAGAGGGAUCUCCUCAAAAGUUGGCUAACCCAUUCGACUUUGGAGGAGGCAUUGCGAACCCAAAUGGAGCAGCAGACCCUGGUCUUCUAUAUGAUAUGGAUACAGCUGACUACAUACAUUACCUCUGUGUGAUGGGUUACAACAACGCUGCAAUCUCUAGACUCACAGGACAACCUACAGAAUGCCCCAGCAAAGAACCAUCCAUUUUGGACGUUAACCUACCUUCCCUAACCAUACCAAAUCUUAGAAAAUCCAUCACGCUCACCAGAACAGUCACAAAUGCUGGAGCCCCGAACUCCAUUUACAGAGCAGUGAUUGAACCUCCAUUCGGCAUUAUUGUAUCAGUAAAACCUGAUGUGUUACUCUUCAGUAAUCAAACUAAGAAAAUAAACUUUACUGUGACAAUUAAUGCUACCCACCAGGUGAACACUGGGUACUAUUUUGGGAGCCUAUCAUGGACCGAUGGGAUACACAUGGUGAAAAGUCCAUUGUCAGUGAGAACAGAGAUGUUACAACCUUAUGCUAGUGACAACUAAGAAUUGAAAAUCAGAUGUCCAUUCGUUUCAUAUAUAUUUAUGUAUACCAAUGCAAUUUCAUGUAUAAAUUGAUUCAAUGUUUUCAUAUUCUUACAUGGUCUCGACCAUAAACCAUAAUGCAUACAGUGUAGGAGUCUGUUCUGGCAAAAGUGUUAUACCACUGCUGGAUCAUAGUAAAAUACAUAUUUUGGUGUUGA